AUUGAACGCUGGCGGCAGGCCUAACACAUGCAAGUCGAACGAGUGGCGGACGGGUGAGUAAUGUCUGGGAAACUGCCUGAUGGAUGGGGAUAACUCCUGGAAACGGUAGCUAAUACCGCAUACCAUCAGCUAUCCCCAGAUGGGAUUAGCUCGUUGGUUGGGUAACGGCUCACCAAGGCGACGAUCCCUCGCUGGUCUGAAAGAAUGACCAGCCACACUGGAACGGAGACACGGUCCAGACUCCGACGCGAGGCAGCAGUGGUGAAUAUUGCACAAUGGGCGCAAGCCUGAUGCAGCCAUGCCGCGUGUAUGAAGAAGGCCGUCGGGUUGUAAAGUACUUUCAGCGGGGAGGCGGUACCCGCAGAAGAAGCACCGGCUAACUCCGUGCCAGCAGCCGCGGUCAUUC
rnacentral:rRNA from 1 species